AUCCAGCUGACGAGCCCCAAAUAGGACGAAACGUGCAUCAAACUAGAU
rfam:Schistosoma haematobium scaffold493_4, whole genome shotgun sequence.